rnacentral:rRNA from 1 species
UACGAAGGGGGCUAGCGUUGUUCGGAAUUACUGGGCGUAAAGCGCGCGCAGGUGGUCUUUCAAGUCAGUGGUGAAAGCCCGGAGCUCAACUCCGGAAAUGCCAUUGAAACUGUAAGACUUGAGGAUGAGAGAGGUGAGUGGAAUUCCCAGUGUAGAGGUGAAAUUCGUAGAUAUUGGGAAGAACACCGGUGGCGAAGGCGGCUCACUGGCUCAUAUCUGACGCUCAGGCGCGACAGCGUGGGAGUCAAACAGG